CCUACGGGGGGCAGCAGUGGGGGAUAUUGCACAAUGGGGGGAACCCUGAUGCAGCGACGCCGCGUGGGUGAAGAAGCGCCUCGGCGCGUAAAGCCCUGUCAGCAGGGAAGAAAAUGACGGUACCUGAAGAAGAAGCCCCGGCUAACUACGUGCCAGCAGCCGCGGUAAUACGUAGGGGGCAAGCGUUAUCCGGAUUUACUGGGUGUAAAGGGGGCGCAGACGGCGGUGCAAGCCAGGAGUGAAAGCCCGGGGCCCAACCCCGGGACUGCUCUUGGAACUGCGUGGCUAGAGUGCAGGAGGGGGAGGCGGAAUGCCUGGUGUAGCGGUGAAAUGCGUAGAUAUCAGGAGGAACACCGGUGGCGAAGGCGGCCUGCUGGACUGCAACUGACGUUGAGGCCCGAAAGCGUGGGGAGCAAACAGGAUUAGAUACCCUUGUAGUC
rnacentral:rRNA from 1 species